GCCUUCUUAGCUCAGUCGGUAGAGCGCAUGCCUAGUAAGUAUGAGGUCGUCAGUUCAAUUCUGGCAGAAGGCA
rnacentral:tRNA from 1 species